CGGUGCUUGCACUGGUCAAUCUAGUGGCGAACGGGUGAGUAACACGUGGGUAACCUGCCCAUCAGAGGGGGAUAACAUUCGGAAACGGAUGCUAAAACCGCAUAGGUCCUUUAACCGCAUGGUUGAAGGAGGAAAAGAGGCGCAAGCUUCUGCUGAUGGAUGGACCCGCGGUGCAUUAGCUAGUUGGUGAGGUAACGGCUCACCAAGGCCGUGAUGCAUAGCCGACCUGAGAGGGUGAUCGGCCACAUUGGGACCGAGACACGGCCCAAACUCCUACGGGAGGCAGCAGUAGGGAAUCUUCCGCAAUGGACGCAAGUCUGACGGAGCAACGCCGCGUGAGUGAAGAAGGUUUUCGGAUCGUAAAACUCUGUUGUUAGAGAAGAACAAGUGCUAGAGUAACUGUUAGCGCCUUGACGGUAUCUAACCAGAAAGCCACGGCUAACUACGUGCCAGCAGCCGCGGUAAUACGUAGGUGGCAAGCGUUGUCCGGAUUUAUUGGGCGUAAAGCGAGCGCAGGCGGUUCCUUAAGUCUGAUGUGAAAGCCCCCGGCUCAACCGGGGAGGGUCAUUGGAAACUGGGGAACUUGAGUGCAGAAGAGGAGAGUGGAAUUCCAUGUGUAGCGGUGAAAUGCGUAGAUAUAUGGAGGAACACCAGUGGCGAAGGCGACUCUCUGGUCUGUAACUGACGCUGAGGCUCGAAAGCGUGGGUAGCAAACAGGAUUAGAUACCCUGGUAGUCCACGCCGUAAACGAUGAGUGCUAAGUGUUGGAGGGUUUCCGCCCUUCAGUGCUGCAGUUA
rnacentral:rRNA from 1 species